rnacentral:rRNA from 1 species
UACGUAGGGUGCAAGCGUUGUCCGGAAUUAUUGGGCGUAAAGAGCUCGUAGGCGGUUUGUUGCGUCGGCUGUGAAAUCCCGAGGCUCAACCUCGGGUCUGCAGUCGAUACGAGCAAACUGGAGUGUUGCAGGGGAGACUGGAAUUCCUGGUGUAGCGGUGAAAUGCGUAGAUAUCGAGAGGAACACCUGCGGCGAAGGCGGGUUGCUGGGCUGACACUGACGCUGAACUGCGAAAGCUAGGGGAGCGAACGGG